GAGCGGCAUGAAGAGAGCUUGCUCUCUGAUUUUAGCGGCGGACGGGUGAGUAACACGUGGGCAACCUGCCCUACAGAUGGGGAUAACUCCGGGAAACCGGGGCUAAUACCGAAUAAACAGUUUGUCCGCAUGGGACAAACUCUGAAAGACGGUUUCGGCUGUCACUGUAGGAUGGGCCCGCGGCGCAUUAGCUAGUUGGUGGGGUAAUGGCCUACCAAGGCGACGGAUGCGUAGCCGACCUGAGAGGGUGAUCGGCCACACUGGGACUGAGACACGGCCCAGACUCCUACGGGAGGCAGCAGUAGGGAAUCUUCCACAAUGGACGAAAGUCUGAUGGAGCAAUGCCGCGUGAGCGAAGAAGGUUUUCGGAUCGUAAAGCUCUGUUGUAAGGGAAGAACACGUACGGGAGUAACUGCCCGUACCUUGACGGUACCUUAUUAGAAAGCCACGGCUAACUACGUGCCAGCAGCCGCGGUAAUACGUAGGUGGCAAGCGUUGUCCGGAAUUAUUGGGCGUAAAGCGCGCGCAGGCGGUUCUUUAAGUCUGAUGUGAAAGCCCACGGCUCAACCGUGGAGGGUCAUUGGGAAACUGGAGAACUUGAGUACAGAAGAGGAAAGCGGAAUUCCACGUGUAGCGGGUGAAAUGCGUAGAUGAUGUGGGAAGAACC
rnacentral:rRNA from 1 species